GCGUCCUGGGUGCGCUGGCGCCCCCUCCCAGUUGGAGUCCGGUGGUGAAGCGGUGUGGGUUCAGCAGUCCAGCCCCGGGGCCGGCAUUGCCGCGCGCUGCCCGCCACCGCCGCGCCGCGCCGCGCGCUGCUACCCAGCUGCAGGCGGCCGCGCCUCCGCCCUCCCGCGCCGCCGCCUCCGCGGCGGCCGCCGCUCCCCCCGCGCGGGCUGCACGCUCAGAUUCCUCCCGCGGCGGCUGCCAGCCCGGCUCCCCGGCUAGGCUCCUUCCUUUCCCUUCUUUUCUUCUCGCCCUCUCACAGCCACCUCUUUGCAUCCACUCCCUCCUGCAAUUUGCAAAGCUCCCCUGUCUCUCGCGCUUCAAGGUGCCAAGAGGACAAGGAACCCCCUCUUUGUAGGAAGAGAUUGAAGCCGAGACACCAGAGAGCCCCCGGCUGAUCUGACUGUCGCUAUUUUUCGUUGUAACUUCAGGAGAGGAGGAAAGAAAAUUCUUGAGCCUCUGUGCUGACUUCUCAGCACUCUUCACCCUCCCACCUCUACCCCCACCUCUGUCUGAGCGACUCCCAAGGGAAAAAGAUUUUGCAGGGUUUGGGUGUUUUUUGUUUUAAGUGACACAAAAAAAAUGAGGAGGGGGGGUGGAGGGAGAUCUAGUCAAAAUAGUUUUUAGGAACUCAAGUGCAUAGCUGGACAUUUCUUUUUUCUUAUAUAUUCAAUCUUGUCAUUCCUAGAGAACAAGAAUGAGGUGUUUGUUUGUUUGUUUUUGUUUUAAGGACUGAAAAACUGUCAGCUUUGUGAUUAAAAUAAGUUGCAAAACCCUUGCUGGGGAAAAGCACCAGCCGUUUUCCAUGAAUUUAAAUAUUUUAUUAAGUCUAUUCUACAUCUAAGACUAAGUUUCGUGUCUGUCUUCCCCAGCGCUCACGGGGAAAAAUUAAAAAUACGAACUAAAAAAUUCAAAA